CCAUGUCGCCUUGGCGACGGGCGUCGGGUCGAACUGGUAGUACUCGCCGAGGAUGGGGCGGAUCGCCUUAGUGGCCUCCAUGGCGUGGUAGUGCGGCAUGGUGGAGAAGAGGUGGUGCGCGACGUGCGUGUCCGUGAUGUUGUGGAACACCUUGUUGAGGAUGCCGUAGUCGCGGUCCACGGUGGCCAGCGCGCCGCGGAGCCAGUCCCACUCGCUCGAGUCGUAGUGCGGCAGCGCCGGGUGGGUGUGCUGCAGGUAGGUGAUGAGCAC
rnacentral:lncRNA from 1 species